rnacentral:rRNA from 1 species
GUCUACGGUCAUACCACCCUGAAUGCUCCUGAUCUUGUCUGAUCUCGGAAGCUAAGCAGGGUCAGGCCUGGUUAGUACUUGGAUGGGAGAAAAUGCUUCAGGUGUCUCUGGCA